AACGCGAAGAACCUUACCAAGGUUUGACAUCCUGCGAAGGUCUCUGAAAGGAGACUGUGCCUUCGGGAACGCAGUGACAGGUGAUGCAUGGCCGUCGUCAGCUCGUGUCGUGAGAUGUUUGGUUAAGUCCAUUAACGAGCGCAACCCUUAUAGUUAGUUGCUUUUUCUAGCUAGACUGCCCUGGUAACAGGGAGGAAGGAGGGGAUGAUGUCAGGUCAGUAUUUCCCUUACACCUUGGGCUACAAACACGCUACAAUGGCCGGUACAAAGGGCUGCCAAGUCGCGAGACGGAGCAAAUCCCAUCAAAGCCGGUCUCAGUUCGGAUUGUAGGCUGAAACUCGCCUGCAUGAAGAUGGAAUCGCUAGUAACGGUAGGUCAGCAUUACUACCGUGAAUACGUUCCCGGGCCUUGUACACACCGCGUGUCU
rnacentral:rRNA from 1 species